rnacentral:sRNA from 1 species
UUACCCCCAUCACUGGUGGUAGAAGAAACUCCAUUGUUUGUGCCAGGACUCUCACUCUCAGAUGAAUUUCAAUCAUCAGAUUUGUUGUUGUCAUCAUCCCCAGCAGCAUCAGUUUUACUGUUGGUAUGAUUGAUUGUGUCGAUGUCAGUGAUAUCUGAACCAUUGUCCAAACCACUGAAAGGCUGCGCAGGAGCGGUUAUUGAGGAAGAAGAAUUGAUAUAGAGCAUACAGAUUUUGAGUUUGAGAUGUGCAGAGGUUAUACUGUCAUCAUCAUAAGCUGCAUCAUCUGUAUUGUCAGCACAGUUGGUUGGGUUUGUGCAGGGACUUUCAGAAUCAUUCUCCAAUCCACU